rnacentral:rRNA from 1 species
UGUGGAGCACGCCGCGUGAGUGAAGAAGGGUUUCGGCUCGUAAAACUCUGUUGUUAAAGAAGAACAUAUCUGAGAGUAACUGUUCAGGUAUUGACGGUAUUUAACCAGAAAGCCACGGCUAACUACGUGCCAGCAGCCGCGGUAAUACGUAGGUGGCAAGCGUUGUCCGGAUUUAUUGGGCGUAAAGCGAGCGCAGGCGGUUUUUUAAGUCUGAUGUGAAAGCCUUCGGCUCAACCGAAGAAGUGCAUCGGAAACUGGGAAACUUGAGUGCAGAAGAGGACAGUGGAACUCCAUGUGUAGCGGUGAAAUGCGUAGAUAUAUGGAAGAACACCAGUGGCGAAGGCGGCUGUCUGGUCUGUAACUGACGCUGAGGCUCGAAAGUAUGGGUAGCAAACAGGAUUAGAUACCCUGGUAGUCCAUACCGUAAACGAUGAAUGCUAAGUGUUGGAGGGUUUCCGCCCUUCAGUGCUGCAGCUAACGCAUUAAGCAUUCCGCCUGGGGAGUACGGCCGCAAGGCUGAAACUCAAAGGAAUUGACGGGGGCCCGCACAAGCGGUGGAGCAUGUGGUUUAAUUCGAAGCUACGCGAAGAACCUUACCAGGUCUUGACAUACUAUGCAAAUCUAAGAGAUUAGACGUUCCCUUCGGGGACAUGGAUACAGGUGGUGCAUGGUUGUCGUCAGCUCGUGUCGUGAGAUGUUGGGUUAAGUCCCGCAACGAGCGCAACCCUUAUUAUCAGUUGCCAGCAUUAAGUUGGGCACUCUGGUGAGACUGCCGGUGACAAACCGGAGGAAGGUGGGGAUGACGUCAAAUCAUCAUGCCCCUUAUGACCUGGGCUACACACGUGCUACAAUGGAUGGUACAACGAGUUGCGAACUCGCGAGAGUAAGCUAAUCUCUUAAAGCCAUUCUCAGUUCGGAUUGUAGGCUGCAACUCGCCUACAUGAAGUCGGAAUCGCUAGUAAU